rnacentral:rRNA from 1 species
UACGUAGGGUGCGAGCGUUGUCCGGAAUUAUUGGGCGUAAAGGGCUCGUAGGCGGUCUGUUGCGUCGGUAGUGAAAACUCAGGGCUUAACCCUGAGCCUGCUUCCGAUACGGGCAGACUAGAGUGCGGUAGGGGAGACUGGAAUUCCUGGUGUAGCGGUGAAAUGCGCAGAUAUCAGGAGGAACACCGGUGGCGAAGGCGGGUCUCUGGGCCGUAACUGACGCUGAGGAGCGAAAGCGUGGGGAGCGAACAGG